AGUAAUGUAGUCAAUUCUGGCGCACCGGCGCAGUGUUUUCCGACCGUUGCGUGUUAUUACUUUGGUUGCUAUGCAAAGUUUUAAUAUGUUUGUUUGAUAAUAUAAACACAUUUUCAUGUGUUUGAAGGUCGCAAAAGCUUAACAUAAGUGGCAACCACACUUUGUAUUACGUUUCGUCUCAUAUAUCAUGAAGAACAACCAAGUAUUUCAAGGUGGGAACAUGCUGAGGAACCUCAACCAAGGAAAGCUGAGGCGAGGGCGAGUAGGUCCCUGAGGAGGACCACUGCAAAGGAGGUCAAGGAGAUUAUGGGGGCAACCUGCGAGCAACCUCUAGACCAGCCAGCAGGGACCUCUGACAAUGCCGCUGCCGGUGUCGACGCUGGCAGCCAUGGCCGGCGCCGAGCUGACGAGUUCCAACCUGGAAGCUCAGCGCGAGGGGCUGGCAUUUGUUGCCGGCUUCGUGGCAUACAAGUGU